GAUGAACGCUGGCGGCGUGCCUAAUACAUGCAAGUCGAGCGAACAGACGAGGAGCUUGCUCCUCUGACGUUAGCGGCGGACGGGUGAGUAACACGUGGAUAACCUACCUAUAAGACUGGGAUAACUUCGGGAAACCGGAGCUAAUACCGGAUAAUAUAUUGAACCGCAUGGUUCAAUAGUGAAAGACGGUUUUGCUGUCACUUAUAGAUGGAUCCGCGCCGCAUUAGCUAGUUGGUAAGGUAACGGCUUACCAAGGCAACGAUGCGUAGCCGACCUGAGAGGGUGAUCGGCCACACUGGAACUGAGACACGGUCCAGACUCCUACGGGGGGCAGCAGUAGGGAAUCUUCCGCAAUGGGCGAAAGCUUGACGGAGCAACGCCGCGUGAGUGAUGAAGGUCUUCGGAUCGUAAAACUCUGUUAUUAGGGAAGAACAAAUGUGUAAGUAACUAUGCACGCCUUGACGGUACCUAAUCAGAAAGCCACGGCUAACUACGUG
rnacentral:rRNA from 1 species